rnacentral:rRNA from 1 species
UGGGGAAUUUUGCGCAAUGGACGAGAGUCUGACGCAGCAACGCCGCGUGGGUGAUGAAGGUCUUCGGAUUGUAAAACCCUGUCGUCAGGGACGAAGGUAUUAUUCUUAAUAGGGAUAAUGUUUGACGGUACCUGGAAAGGAAGCCCCGGCUAACUCUGUGCCAGCAGCCGCGGUAAUACAGAGGGGGCAAGCGUUAUUCGGAGUUACUGGGCGUAAAGGGCGCGUAGGCGGUUUUUUAAGUGAGAUGUGCAAUCCCCGGGCUCAACCUGGGAACUGCAUCUCAGACUGGGAAGCUAGAGUGCUGGAGAGGGUGGUGGAAUUCCACGUGUAGCGGUGAAAUGCGUAGAGAUGUGGAGGAACACCAGUGGCGAAGGCGGCCACCUGGACAGUGACUGACGCUGAGGCGCGAAAGCGUGGGUAGCAAACAGG